CCGGCCUACUGUUGAGUUUAGCAAAGAAAGCUGACUAGCUGAAAUCAAAGUGCGAGAGCAGAUGAAGGGUUUAUAUUUGUAUGUUUGUUCUUCUACGUUAGUGAGCAAGUGAGCUCUAAAAUUGCUGCUCAAUUCUUUGUUUCUCACCUCUCUUCAUCAAUGAAAAUGAAGAUUAAUUAUAUAAUCAAUGAAUGAUUCAUUUAGACGUUUCCGGGAAGUUGAUGCUCGAAUUCAAAGCAUCAAGUUGUCAAGAACCAACCAAUCUUCUUUCAGGUUCCAUCUUUUUCAUAAUGAAGCAAAUCAAAGGACUGAAUGUUGACUGUAAAACCAAAUUUCAGUUAUCCUUUGUGAUUGGGAUUCAUAUUAGUAUCGGUUCUCUCUUGUUGAAUAUCUGCAAACGAAUGAAUAAUGUUGUUUUUCUCUGUUUCAUA
rnacentral:lncRNA from 1 species